rnacentral:rRNA from 1 species
CCUACGGGAGGCAGCAGUGGGGAAUAUUGCACAAUGGGGGAAACCCUGAUGCAGCGACGCCGCGUGAGUGAAGAAGUAUUUCGGUAUGUAAAGCUCUAUCAGCAGGGAAGAAAAUGACGGUACCUGAUUAAGAAGCCCCGGCUAACUACGUGCUAGCAGCCGCGGUAAUACGUAGGGGGCAAGCGUUAUCCGGAUUUACUGGGUGUAAAGGGAGCGUAGACGGCAGCACAAGUCUGGAGUGAAAUGCCGGGGCUUAACCCCGGAAAUGCUUUGGAAACUGGGCAGCUAGAGGGCAGGGGAGGUAAGGGGAAUGCCCAGUGGAGCGGUGAAAUGCGUAGAUAUUAGGAAGAACACC